CUACGGGGCGCAGCAGUGAGGAAUAUUGCACAAUGGAGGAAACUCUGAUGCAGCAACGCCGCGUGGAGGAUGACGCAUUUCGGUGUGUAAACUCCUUUUAUAUGUCAAGAAAAUGACGGUAGCAUAUGAAUAAGCACCGGCUAACUCCGUGCCAGCAGCCGCGGUAAUACGGAGGGUGCAAGCGUUACUCGGAAUCACUGGGCGUAAAGGACGCGUAGGCGGGAUAUCAAGUCAGGUGUGAAAUCCUACAGCUUAACUGUAGAACUGCACUUGAAACUGGUAACCUAGAGUAUGGGAGGGGGAGAUGGAAUUAGUGGUGUAGGGGUAAAAUCCGUAGAUAUCACUAGGAAUACCUAAAGCGAAGGCGAUCUCCUGGAACAUAACUGACGCUAAGGCGUGAAAGCGUGGGGAGCAAACAGGAUUAGAUACCCCCGUAGUC
rnacentral:rRNA from 1 species